GCUCUUGGUCACCUGACGUCCUUCUGUUUCAGGUGUCCCUAUGAAGGUGAUGACUAUCUGACCCUCCUACACCCAGUAGGUGUCUCUUCUGGCCUGCAGUUCCCAACCCAUCACAAGCGGUUUGAAGUGAAGACGUUUGUUUUCUUGGAUGGAGUGUCUGAGCAGCCCCUUUCUGGACAGGUUUACUUGCACUGCAGUGCUGAGGUUUGCUCUCCCUCUACUCAGGAUGACUGCACAACCAGAUGUGGUCCAAGGACACGCAGGAGUGCUCUCCUCCAUGAGGGGACCUUGGUAAGUGCUCCUGGUCCAGUUGUUCUCCUGGAAGUUGAGAACAGCCAGUCUAAGCAGCUGCUUAAUGAGAAUGGUAAGUGAUGUUCCUUGUUUAGUUCACCUGAGCAUCUU